CUGGAGAUAACCGUGUCUUUCCUUUCCCUGGCCUCUAGCUGAAAUUUAGCAUCAUAUUCCAUGGCGAUUUUCCACCAGUGGAAAUCACAGGUGUUCUCUGGUAUCACAGCGGGGUCAGGGAUGACCUGAAAUAUUGUUCAUGCUCAUCACAACUGCAUGGCCCACCGCGGGGUCUUGUCACUCAGUGAGUUCUUGAAGAGGCACAGACAAAUGGAGUUCAACAAAUGGAAAACAACUGCCUUUAAUUAGCUCCGAGGACUACAAAGGGAACAACGUUAUAAUAGCAGCAACUCCAAGGAAGCAGCCACAGCUCUCAGCUCUCAGACCUGGGGCUGCCGCUCAUCAUCAGCUACAGCUAGGUUUGAUGGGAGUGCCCCCAUUUCAGGGGACAGCAGGCCCCCUUCACUCCCCGACUCAGUCCCCAUCUGCAGCAGCACAGCCUUCCUUGGCCUCACCAGGGAAGAAGAACAGGCCCCGCUCUCAGACAAGCCUUCCCAGAAGCCUGAGGACUCAAACACCCAAAUGUGUCUGGGUCCCUGCCCCGAGCCGGCCACCCAGGCAGCAGCCCUGAAUCACUCGGUCAGCCAGCGGCAGGGCAGGCCAAUGGGCUGGAGGGUAGGCAGGCAGGCAGACCCACCUCUGCAUCUCUGCUGACUGCCUCGGCUGAGGAAAGGCAGCACCAGCCCCCAACCCUGAAGUUCUAGAUCUCAUGCAGCCUCUCUGUUCUGGAACCAUCCAGAGGCACUGCCCUU
rnacentral:lncRNA from 10 species